rnacentral:rRNA from 1 species
UACGUAGGGUGCGAGCGUUGUCCGGAUUUAUUGGGCGUAAAGGGCUCGUAGGCGGCGUGUCGCGUCGGGAGUGAAAGACCGGGGCUUAACCCCGGUUCUGCUUCCGGUACGGGCAUGCUGGAGUGUGGCAGGGGAGACUGGAAUUCCUGGUGUAGCGGUGGAAUGCGCAGAUAUCAGGAGGAACACCGGUGGCGAAGGCGGGUCUCUGGACAUUUCCUGACGCUGAGGCACGAAAGCCAGGGGAGCAAACGGG